rnacentral:rRNA from 1 species
UGCCAGCAGCCGCGGUAAUACGGAGGGUGCGAUCGUUAAUCGGAAUCACUGGGCGUAAAGCGUGCGUAGGCGGCGCAGCAAGUCAGACGUGAAAGCCCUCGGCUCAACCGAGGAAUUGCGUUUGAAACUGCUGUGCUUGAGUCUCGGAGAGGUUGGCGGAAUUCCAGGUGUAGGAGUGAAAUCCGUAGAUAUCUGGAGGAACACCGGGGGCGAAGGCGGCCAACUGGACGAGUAAGGACGCGGAGGUAAGAACGCGUGGGGAGCAAACAGGAGUAGAUC